AACGAACGCUGGCGGCAGGCCUAACACAUGCAAGUCGAGCGAGGACUUCGGUCCUAGCGGCGGACGGGUGAGUAACGCGUGGGAACGUGCCCUUUGCUUCGGAAUAGCCCUGGGAAACUGGGAGUAAUACCGGAUGAGCCCUUUGGGGGAAAGAUUUAUCGGCGAAGGAUCGGCCCGCGUUGGAUUAGGUAGUUGGUGGGGUAAUGGCCUACCAAGCCGACGUUCCAUAGCUGGUUUGAGAGGAUGAUCAGCCACACUGGGGCUGAGACACGGCCCAGACUCCUACGGAGGGCAGCAGUGGGGAAUCUUAUACAAUGGGGGAAACCCUGAUCUAGCCAUGCCGCGUGAGCGAUGAAGGCCUUAGGGUUGUAAAGCUCUUUCAGCUGGGAAGAUAAUGACGGUACCAGCAGAAGAAGCCCCGGCUAACUCCGUG
rnacentral:rRNA from 1 species